UACGGAGGGUGCAGGCGUUAAUCGGAAUUACUGGGCGUAAAGCGUGCGCAGGCGGUUUCUUAAGUCAGAUGUGAAAGCCCCGGGCUUAACCUGGGAACUGCGUUUGAAACUGGGAGACUUGAGUGUGGCAGAGGGGGGUGGAAUUCCACGUGUAGCAGUGAAAUGCGUAGAUAUGUGGAGGAACACCGAUGGCGAAGGCAGCCCCCUGGGUUAACACUGACGCUCAUGCACGAAAGCGUGGGGAGCAAACAGG
rnacentral:rRNA from 1 species